rnacentral:miRNA from 1 species
GGGUGAGAGGUUGCCGGAAAGAA